rnacentral:rRNA from 1 species
UGACAACUUAGUUCAACGGCCGCGGUAUUUUGACCGUGCAAAGGUAGCGUAAUCACUUGUCUUUUAAAUGAAGACCUGUAUGAAUGGCAUAACGAGGGCUUAACUGUCUCCUUCCCCUGGUCAAUGAAAUUGAUCUCCCCGUGCAGAAGCGGGGAUAAAACCAUAAGACGAGAAGACCCUAUGGAGCUUUAGACACACAGGUGGACCAUGUCAAACACCCCCAGCUAAGGGCCUGAACUAAAUGGAACCUGCCUUGAUGUCUUCGGUUGGGGCGACCAUGGGGAAUACAAAACCCCCACGUGGAAAGGGAGCACACCCCUAAGUUACUUCUUCUCCCGCAAGCCAGAGCAACAGCUCUAACAAGCAGAAAUUCUGACCAAACUGAUCCGGUAAAACCGAUCAACGAACCAAGUUACCCUAGGGAUAACAGCGCAAUCCCCUUUUA